GGUUCUCCCCGAAAGCUAUUUAGGUAGCGCCUCGUGAAUUCAUCUCCGGGGGUAGAGCACUGUUUCGGCAAGGGGGUCAUCCCGACUUACCAACCCGAUGCAAACUGCGAAUACCGGAGAAUGUUAUCACGGGAGACACACGGCGGGUGCUAACGUCCGUCGUGAAGAGGGAAACAACCCAGACCGCCAGCUAAGGUCCCAAAGUCAUGGUUAAGUGGGAAACGAUGUGGGAAGGCCCAGACAGCCAGGAUGUUGGCUUAGAAGCAGCCAUCAUUUAAAGAAAGCGUAAUAGCUCACUGGUCGAGUCGGCCUGCGCGGAAGAUGUAACGGGGCUAAACCAUGCACCGAAGCUGCGGCAGCGACACUAUGUGUUGUUGGGUAGGGGAGCGUUCUGUAAGCCUGUGAAGGUGGCCUGUGAGGGUUGCUGGAGGUAUCAGAAGUGCGAAUGCUGACAUAAGUAACGAUAAAGCGGGUGAAAAGCCCGCUCGCCGGAAGACCAAGGGUUCCUGUCCAACGUUAAUCGGGGCAGGGUGAGUCGACCCCUAAGGCGAGGCCGAAAGGCGUAGUCGAUGGGAAACAGGUUAAUAUUCC
rnacentral:rRNA from 1 species